UACAGAGGGGGCAAGCGUUGUUCGGAAUUACUGGGCGUAAAGGGCGCGUAGGCGGCCUUCUAAGUCAGACGUGAAAUCCCCGGGCUCAACCCGGGAACUGCGUCUGAGACUGGAAGGCUCGAAUCCGGGAGAGGGAUGUGGAAUUCCAGGUGUAGCGGUGAAAUGCGUAGAUAUCUGGAGGAACACCGGUGGCGAAGGCGGCAUCCUGGACCGGUAUUGACGCUGAGGCGCGAAAGCCAGGGGAGCAAACGGG
rnacentral:rRNA from 1 species